rnacentral:tRNA from 1 species
UGGCUCAGAUGGUAAAGCGCCUGCCUACAAUGCAGGAGACCCGGGUUCAAUCCCUGG